rnacentral:rRNA from 1 species
ACGCUCGACACCUACAGGCAGCAGUGGGGAAUAUUGCACAAUGGGGGAAACCCUGAUGCAGCAACGCCGCGUGAGUGAAGAAGUAUUUCGGUAUGUAAAGCUCUAUCAGCAGGGAAGAUAAUGACGGUACCUGACUAAGAAGCUCCGGCUAAAUACGUGCCAGCAGCCGCGGUAAUCUGAGGCGGGCGUGGCAAGGC